GCAAACUUGGUCAUUUAGAGGAAGUAAAAGUCGUAACAAGGUUUCCGUAGGUGAACCUGCGGAAGGAUCAUUACCGAAUUACCUGCCCCACGCCUUGUGCGCGGGUGCUCGUUUGAACCUCUUGAUCUUGAUCUUGGUGCUCAUAUCUCUGCACCACUAGUGGUGGAGGUGUGGGGUGCCCUUAUCAAGAUGUCCUAUCAUACACACACUCAAACUUGUCACUGUAUGGUGUUGAACUUUGAACAUAUAAUAUAACUUUCAACAACGGAUCUCUUGGCUCUCGCAUCGAUGAAGAACGCAGC
rnacentral:misc_RNA from 1 species